GUGCCAGCCGCCGCGGUAAUACGGGUGAGGCAAGCGUUGUUCGGAAUCAUUGGGCUUAAAGCGCGUGUAGGCGGCGUCGUAAGUACCUUGUGAAAUCCCUUCUCUCAAUGGAGGAAUUGCUUGGUAUACUGCGGUGCUUGAGGCAGGUAGGGGUGCUUGGAACUCUAGGUGGAGCGGUGAAAUGCGUAGAUAUCUAGAGGAACGCCAGUGGCGAAAGCGGAGCACUGGGCCUGUCCUGACGCUGAGACGCGAAAGCGUGGGUAGCAAACGGGAUUAGAUACCCCCGUAGUCC
rnacentral:rRNA from 1 species